UACGUAGGGUGCGAGCGUUGUCCGGAAUUAUUGGGCGUAAAGGGCUCGUAGGCGGUUUGUCACGUCAGGAGUGAAAACUCGGGGCUCAACCCCGAGCCUGCUUCUGAUACGGGCAGACUGGAGGUAUGCAGGGGAGAACGGAAUUCCUGGUGUAGCGGUGAAAUGCGCAGAUAUCAGGAGGAACACCGGUGGCGAAGGCGGUUCUCUGGGCAUUACCUGACGCUGAGGAGCGAAAGUGUAGGGAGCGAACAGG
rnacentral:rRNA from 1 species